rnacentral:lncRNA from 1 species
UGGAAUCAUGCGGCCUUCAAGUCUCCUACACAGAAUGGCAGUUAACUUUACUAAGGAGGAUGGGAGCAAGAAGCACCAGGCACACAGUACUUUCCUAAGUAGCUGUGGCAGGAAUGCAGCUCUGACUGGAAUUUAUGAGAAACAUUAAAGCUGUUUCAGUGCUGUUUUGAGAACCCUUCAGUGAACCCAGACUGUUAACUAGUGUUCUGUUACCUUCCAGGACUGAAAGUCAACUGUUCUGUUUUGUUUUGUUUUUCCUACAACAGAUUGUUCGCAAAGUAUCAGUACUUUGACUCCCGGGGAAUGUUUAUUUCUCUUGUGUUCUCAGCACCGCUGCUCUUCAACGCCAUGGUCAUUGUGGUAUGUGUGACACAGACAUUUAUGUCCCAGCAUUGUGCACUCAUAGGUGUGACACAGACAUUUAUGUCCCAGUUUUGUGCACUCAUAGGUGUGACACAGACAUUUAUGUACCGGCUUUGUGCACUCAUAGGUGUGACACAGACAUUUAUGUCCUGGCUUUGUGUACUCAUGGGUAUGACACAGACAUUUAUGUCCUGGCUUUGUGCACUCAUGCUUUCUAGUUUUAAUCGUGACUCUGUGAUUUCUAGAUUAUGUGGGUACGGAAGACUUUGACUGUGAUGAGUGACCUGAAGAACUUACAGGAGAGGAGAAAGGAGAGGAAGAGGCGAAGAAAAGAAGAAUAGCACUGAGCUGGCCACACCGUGUUUGUCCUCUGACUUGGUUGUUUCCAUCUGGGAGCUGCAUAUGGCCCAGAUGUCUUCUGUCAGCUGACUCAUGGUUGGAAAAACACACCACAAAUGGUUCUUAUAUUUUACUCUGUUUGGAGCCCUCGUAAAGCUGUUCUUAAAAAACUAAUGACAUGACCUGGAAGCAUGGUGAAUGGGGACCCAUCCUUUACAUGGGGAGCUUUCUGGCUCAGCCACAUCAUAUA